rnacentral:rRNA from 1 species
UACAGAGGUCUCAAGCGUUGUUCGGAUUCAUUGGGCGUAAAGGGUGCGUAGGCGGCGCGGUAAGUCGGAUGUGAAAUCUCGGAGCUUAACUUCGAAACUGCAUUCGAUACUGCCGUGCUUGAGGACUGGAGAGGAGACUGGAAUUUACGGUGUAGCGGUGAAACGCGUAGAUAUCGUAAGGAAGACCAGUGGCGAAGGCGGGUCUCUGGACAGUUCCUGACGCUGAGGCACGAAGGUCAGGGGAGCAAACGGG